ensembl:snRNA U2 U2 spliceosomal RNA
AUCGCUUCUCAACCUUUUGUUUAAGAUCAAGUGUUGUAUCUGUUCUUAUCAGUUUAAAAAAGUUAAACUGAGAAAACCUAAGAAGCUGAGAACUCCCAGACAGGGUCCAAGCCCCCAUUUACCUCCAACCCUGUCCUCCCUUUGCUCUCAGAUGACGAGGUCACAGUGGGCAAGUUUUACGCUACUUUCCUGAUCCAAGAGUAUUU